UACAGAGGGGGCAAGCGUUAUUCGGAAUUACUGGGCGUAAAGGGCUCGUAGGUGGCCAACUAAGUCAGACGUGAAAUCCCCAGGCUCAACUUGGGAACUGCGUCUGAUACUGGAUGGCUUGAAUUCGGGAGAGGGAUGCAGAAUUCCAGGUGUAGCGGUGAAAUGCGUAGAUAUCUGGAGGAAUACCGGUGGCGAAGGCGGCAUCCUGGACCGGCAUUGACGCUGAGGAGCGAAAGCCAGGGGAGCAAACGGGG
rnacentral:rRNA from 1 species